rnacentral:rRNA from 1 species
AGCGAACGCUGGCGGCAGGCCUAACACAUGCAAGUCGAACGAACUCUUCGGAGUUAGUGGCGGACGGGUGAGUAACACGUGGGAACGUGCCUUUAGGUUCGGAAUAACUCAGGGAAACUUGUGCUAAUACCGAAUGUGCCCUUCGGGGGAAAGAUUUAUCGCCUUUAUAUCGGCCCGCGUCUGAUUAGCUAGUUGGUGAGGUAAAGGCUCACCAAGGCGACGAUCAGUAGCUGGUCUGAGAGGAUGAUCAGCCACAUUGGGACUGAGACACGGCCCAAACUCCUACGGGAGGCAGCAGUGGGGAAUCUUGCGCAAUGGGCGAAAGCCUGACGCAGCCAUGCCGCGUGAAUGAUGAAGGUCUUAGGAUUGUAAAAUUCUUUCACCGGGGACGAUAAUGACGAUACCCGGAGAAGAAGCCCCGGCUAACUUCGUG